GUGGGUAGUUUGACUGGGGCGGUCUCCUCCUAAAGAGUAACGGAGGAGCACGAAGGUUGGCUAAUCCUGGUCGGACAUCAGGAGGUUAGUGCAAUGGCAUAAGCCAGCUUGACUGCGAGCGUGACGGCGCGAGCAGGUGCGAAAGCAGGUCAUAGUGAUCCGGUGGUUCUGAAUGGAAGGGCCAUCGCUCAACGGAUAAAAGGUACUCCGGGGAUAACAGGCUGAUACCGCCCAAGAGUUCAUAUCGACGGCGGUGUUUGGCACCUCGAUGUCGGCUCAUCACAUCCUGGGGCUGAAGUAGGUCCCAAGGGUAUGGCUGUUCGCCAUUUAAAGUGGUACGCGAGCUGGGUUUAGAACGUCGUGAGACAGUUCGGUCCCUAUCUGCCGUGGGCGCUGGAGAACUGAGGGGGGCUGCUCCUAGUACGAGAGGACCGGAGUGGACGCAUCACUGGUGUUCGGGUUGUCAUGCCAAUGGCACUGCCCGGUAGCUAAAUGCGGAAGAGAUAAGUGCUGAAAGCAUCUAAGCACGAAACUUGCCCCGAGAUGAGUUCUCCCUGAGACUUUAGGUCUCCUGAAGGAACGUUGAAGACGACGACGUUGAUAGGCCGGG
rnacentral:rRNA from 2 species